UCUGACUNGAGUGCAGAAGGGGAGAGUGGAAUUCCAUGUGUAGCGGUGAAAUGCGUAGAUAUAUGGAGGAACACCAGUGGCGAAAGCGGCUCUCUGGUCUGUCACUGACGCUGAGGCUCGAAAGCGUGGGUAGCGAACAGGAUUAGAUACCCUGGUAGUCCGCGCCGUAAACGAUGAGUGCUAGGUGUUAGGCCCUUUCCGGGGCUUAGUGCCGGAGCUAACGCAAUAAGCACUCCGCCUGGGGAGUACGACCGCAAGGUUGAAACUCAAAGGAAUUGACGGGGGCCCGCACAAGCGGUGGAGCAUGUGGUUUAAUUCGAAGCAACGCGAAGAACCUUACCAGGUCUUGACAUCCCGAUGCUAUUCUUAGAGAUGGGAAGUUACUUCGGUACAUCGGAGACAGGUGGUGCAUGGUUGUCGUCAGCUCGUGUCGUGAGAUGUUGGGUUAAGUCCCGCAACGAGCGCAACCCUUAUUGUUAGUUGCCAUCAUUAAGUUGGGCACUCUAGCGAGACUGCCGGUAAUAAACCGGAGGAAGGUGGGGAUGACGUCAAAUCAUCAUGCCCCUUAUGACCUGGGCUACACACGUGCUACAAUGGUCGGUACAACGAGUUGCGAGCCGGUGACGGCAAGCUAAUCUCUGAAAGCCGAUCUCAGUUCGGAUUGGAGGCUGCAACUCGCCUCCAUGAAGUCGGAAUCGCUAGUAAUCGCGGAUCAGCACGCCGCGGUGAAUACGUUCCCGGGCCUUGUNC
rnacentral:rRNA from 1 species